UACGGGGGGGGCAAGCGUUGUCCGGAAUCAUUGGGCGUAAAGCGCGCGUAGGUGGCUUCGUAAGUCCGUUGUGAAAGUCAAAGGCUCAACCUUUGAAAGCCGAUGGAUACUGUGAAGCUAGAGUACGGAAGAGGCGAGUGGAAUUCCUGGUGUAGCGGUGGAAUGCGCAGAUAUCAGGAGGAACACCAAUAGCGAAGGCAGCUCGCUGGGACGGUACUGACGCUGAGGCGCGAAAGCGUGGGGAGCGAACAGG
rnacentral:rRNA from 1 species